ensembl:lncRNA
CUGCAGGAUCUGCUUUUGAGAACUCAUGCUCCCUUACACAUGCAUCAGUACAGUUGCUUGUUCUCCAGCUCAUGAUUUGCAUAGCAUAGCAUCCGUUAGUGGGGAUUAGACCUUGACCACCUGCUCAGUAAAGGCUAUCUCCAUUACAUUAGCCAGCACAGUGAUUACAUAAACCUGCAGUUGUUUUCAGCACAGCUAACUACACUUGCUCAAUUUUGUUAUGCAGUGGAGAUCCCAGUAACACUCUCUCCUCCCAGUCCUCAAUUUUCCUCCUUUAUUUCCUUCUCCCUGCCCUAAUAACACACACUGCUACCCUCAAGAGGAAAAGUAAUUGCAGACUUUUUCCUCUCAAAGCACCCUGAUGCAGGCAAUGCUGACUUGCAGCAGCCUUUCUUGUGACUGUUGGCUGAAGCCAAUUACUAUUCACAUGCAGCAUGAGGCGCUGCAUUGUGCAAUUCACAUGGCUUCUGCUCUUCAGACCAGCUUUGUGUUUAUGAUCAAGGGCAUCAUCUCUCCUUCCACAACUGCACAGGACAACAAUGCUGCUGCUGGACGAGAGUUUUCUAUGGUUACAAGUGCUUGCAAAACCUCCCUCAUCCCCUGUCAUCCCCAUCCACAUACGGAAGAGUGCAAAAGCCUGAACUGUCAGCCCCUCUGCAUACCUUUGGGAGAAGCAAUCAAGCUAAACUGGAAUUGUGUGUGCUGCCAAGCUGACUUCAGGAUAUUUCAGAGGAGGGAAAAAAAAAAAAAAAAAAAAAAAAAAAAAAGAAGAAAGAAAGACAAUCAGUUCUUGCAAGGAUUUGUUCUUGAAAACAAGCAAAAGCAUGAGAAGCUUUGUUGCAGCAGCGGCACUUACACUGUAGUAAAUGUGUCUCUAUGCAGAUCCUCCCUGUUCUGCAGUCCUGUAAUCCACACAGAGAAAUGCCUCUACUGCUCCUCUCACUGGCACUACUGUCCAGUCCAAUGAGACUGGAACUGCUGGAGACUGGAACAGCCUCUCUCUCCAAAUCCUCUGAUGUCAAACAGCCUGCAAAAGAUAUUUAUGGAAUGAACAACCUAAAAGUUUCUCUAGGUAGAUUUAAAACUGCAGUUCGGGGGGGAUUUGUAAUUUUUGCACUCUUAGAAAACCCUCCAAGGGGUUCAGGGAGGAAACAGUGAGGAACAACAGAUGUGAUUGUAUAAGUACCUGGUAAAAUACAAUAUGUGUACUUUUCCAUCCAUGGUAUAUUAUAUCCACACCCAGGAUGUAACUAUCUGUCAUGUGAAUCCCCAUUUGUAAACUGGUUUUCCAGUCUCUCAGCUGUGCUUAGACAGGGUUUGAAUCAAGUGUGACAUGAAGGUCUCUCAUAGACACACUCCAAGCCCACAGCUCUCUGCUGUGUGCAGGCUUUGACUGGAUUUAACUAGAACAGGACUGAAACAGGCCUUCCAAGCAUCUUGUACACAUCCUACUUCAGUUUCACACUAACCCCUUUUAGCCGGAUUGUUUUCUCAAGCAUGUGGGCCAUUUUGGCCAUCUUCCCUCCUAACUUCAAAAUAUCCUCUCUAGAAGUAUGUCAUCUCAGAUAAAUACCAACUCAGAAAAUUAAUUCAGUUUUUGAUCUCCACUAUGCUGCCUAUUUUCAUCUUUCCAUUAUUCCUUUGCUACUGAACAGUAUGACACUUUUCACCUGCUGUGAAAGCCACUUAGGUGUUAUGUGGAAGAGAUGCUAGAGCAAAAUCCAAAACAGUAUUAGCAUUAAUGUUAAUCAGUAGUUGAAGAGUGAAAUGCUCUU